GACGAACGCUGGCGGCGUGCCUAAUACAUGCAAGUAGAACGCUGAAGGAGGAGCUUGCUUCUCUGGAUGAGUUGCGAACGGGUGAGUAACGCGUAGGUAACCUGCCUGGUAGCGGGGGAUAGCUAUUGGAAACGAUAGCUAAUACCGCAUAAUAGCAGUUGUUGCAUGACAACUGUUUGAAAGGUGCAAUUGCACCACUACCAGAUGGACCUGCGUUGUAUUAGCUAGUUGGUGGGGUAACGGCUCACCAAGGCGACGAUACAUAGCCGACCUGAGAGGGUGAUCGGCCACACUGGGACUGAGACACGGCCCAGACUCCUACGGGAGGCAGCAGUAGGGAAUCUUCGGCAAUGGACGGAAGUCUGACCGAGCAACGCCGCGUGAGUGAAGAAGGUUUUCGGAUCGUAAAGCUCUGUUGUAAGAGAAGAACGAGUGUGAGAGUGGAAAGUUCACACUGUGACGGUAGCUUACCAGAAAGGGACGGCUAACUACGUG
rnacentral:rRNA from 1 species